AACGAACGCUGGCGGCAGGCUUAACACAUGCAAGUCGAACGCAUCGCAAGAUGCGUGGCAGACGGGUGAGUAACGCGUGGGAACAUACUCUUUUCUACGGAAUAGCUCUGGGAAACCGGACUUAAUACCGUAUACGCCCUACGGGGGAAAGAUGUAUCGGGGAAGGAUUGGCCCGCGUUGGAUUAGCUCGUUGGUGGGGUAAAGGCCUACCAAGGCGACGAUCCAUAGCUGGUCUGAGAGGAUGAUCAGCCACCUUGGGACUGAGACACGGCCCAUACUCCUCCGGGGGGCGGCAGUGGGGCAUCACGCUAAACGGGGGAUAGCCGGACGCGGCCAUGCGGCGUGAAUAGUGAAGGUCUCAGGCUUCUCACACUCUUUUUCCAGCAACGAGAAUGGCGCUACCUGUAGAAGAAGCCCCGUCUAACUUCUGGCCACCCGCUGCCGUAAUAC
rnacentral:rRNA from 1 species